rnacentral:rRNA from 1 species
GUCCACGCCGUAAACGAUGGGUGCUAGGUGUGGGGGGUGUCGACUCCCCCCGUGCCGAAGCUAACGCAUUAAGCACCCCGCCUGGGGAGUACGGCCGCAAGGCUAAAACUAAAAGGAAUUGACGGGGGCCCGCACAAGCAGCGGAGCAUGUGGUUUAAUUCGACGCAACGCGAAGAACCUUACCAAGGCUUGAAAUGCUCGAGAAAGCCGGAGAAAUUCGGUCCCCCGCAAGGGCUCGAGUACAGGUGGUGCAUGGCUGUCGU